GAUGAACGCUGGCGGUCUGCUUAACACAUGCAAGUCGAACGGGCUCUUUCGGGAGCUAGUGGCGGAUGGGUGCGUAACGCGUGCGAAUCUGCUAUUUGGAGGGGGCUAACGGUUGCAUGCGACCGUUCAUAAUCCAUGUGCCGAGAGGUAAAAAGUCAUUCGCCAAGGGAUGCGCUCGCGUUGGACUAGCUAGUUGGGGGGGUAAGUGCCAACCAAGCCGACAAUCCGUAGCUGGUCUGAGAGGAUGACCAGACACACUGGGACUGAGACACAGCGCAGACUCCCACGGGAGACAGAAGUGUGGAAAAUUCCGCAAAGGGCGCAAGCCUGACGGAGCAAGACGGCGUGAGGGAAGACAGUCUGUGGAUUGUAAACCGCUUUUGACAGGGAAGAAGUACUGACGGUACCUGUAGAAUCAGCCUCGGCUAACUCCGUG
rnacentral:rRNA from 1 species